UCCCAUCACUCAGGAGGCUGAGGCAGGAGAGUUGCUGUGAAUUCAAGGCCAGCUUGGGUUACACAACUGAGUUCAAGGCCAGCCUGAAUUGUGAGACCCUGUCUCAAAACAACAAAAACAAAAUCAAAAAACAGUGAAAGGUAAUAGUUUCCAGGGUGUGGAGCACAGGAGACGGCGCCCCAGAGCAGGGAUGGAAAUGAGGGUCCCCAGAAGGAAAAACUGUGAAGAGUCCUCCAGAAACCAGAAAUAGAACUACCACAUGAUUCAGAAAACUCACUUCCUCGUUUACAGCCAAAGGAACUGAAACCCUUAUUCCCAGGAAAUGUCUGCUGACCCGUGUUUAUUGCAGCUCUGCUCACAAUGGCCAAGAUGCAGGAUCAACCUAACUGCGGGUUCUGAGAGGUGCCAGGAACCACCAGUGGAGGUCACAGCACAUCCAACCCUUCUGGAAGCAGCCGAGGAGCCGAAGAGUCGGGGCCUCCAAAGAGGGAAAAGUCUCGCCAGCUGCUCCUGGACAGGAGACCACCGUCCACCACACACUAACAGCUGAAGAGAAUGCGGCUGCCCCGGGGGAAGGGGCCCAGAAAACAGCGAGCACAGAACAGACGGAAGCUUCUCAGGAGCGUGAGUGGCCAGCGGGCUCCUGGAAAGCGGUUAUGGCCUCUGUCCUGAAAGAACCGGUUCGGCCCGCGGGGUCCCUGCCUGCUUGGCCGGAAUGGUCUUCAUCCACCUGGACACCACAGUGCCCUGCUGUGGGAUGAGGCCGAGAGAACGGAGACCACACUUGCAUCCCCAAAGAGCACUGCAGGGCCAGAGCUGAGACCUGCAGACACUGACAGACAGACAGACGGGGGCAGAUGGGAAGGGGUCCAGGAGACAGGGCAUGGCAUGGAGGGGUCUAAAUGGAGGUAAGUUGCUUAAUCUUGCUCCAGAUUCCUUUUUCAAGCUGGAUGUGGUGGCACACACCUGUAAUCCCAGCAUUCGGGAGGCUGAGGCGGGAGGAUGGCUGUGAGUUCCAGGCCAGCCUGCACUACGUGGGCGAGACCAAGACCAAGUCCCCUUUUCCAGUAAGUGGGAAAGCCUCCCCCCCAUCCACACCUUCCGCUCCACAGCGCACGAUUCAGGGACACAGUGACCAAAGCCGAGCACAAGCUCUGAAGCCCCCGACUUCAGAGAAGCGCGGGGGCUGGGGUGCAGCCCAGCUGUGCAGGGCUCGCUCAGCCCGCAGGAGGCCCGGGUUCGGCCCCCAGCACCGCAGAAUAACCGGACAUCAGGUGAAUGAAUGAAUAAAUGGCAGCAUUAUUUUUUUUCUCUUGAAACACUCAAAAUAUGGCUCAACAACGUAAACCCUCACUCGGGGACACGCACCUUUGUGGGGCUUUCUGUGCUUCCUGGCUGGCAGGGCUAACCAGGGAGAGGGGGGUCCAGGGCACUGAGCAAACAGACAGAAGAAACUGCGCCCCUCUGGGGUUCCCCAAAGUCCAGUCUCCACGGCACCCAGGCUGUGGCACCUGCAAAGCGACUGUGUGUGGGGACCCCUGGACUCCACGGCACCCGGCUUCCUGUCCCGGAAACGUCCCAGGUGAGCCUGCCCCCAUCUUUUCCCCUCUGUACUGGGCCCGGGUCAGGGCAGAGAGGGACACAGAGGGGACCUGGGACAAGCACAAGCUUCCGCCAGGCAAGCGCCAAGGCCCAGCCGGCCAGGCCGAAGGAUGCAAGUGCCUGCCUGAUCGCUCUAUGAAGAGAGCAGGGUGCAGAUGCUAGGGUUUUACUGAAGAGCAAAAUGUCCUGCUCGGGGCCUGGAGUACCAGCAUCUCACCUAAGGUGCGUGCACCAUGGCAUCUGCAGCAGCCUCUCCCUCCUUCUGGGCCUUGAAGCCCACAUGCCCACACUCAAGACGCGCAAGGGAGCUUUGGCCCUCAUGGGAACCCCUCAGUUGACAUUGACCUCUGCACCUCCAAAGUUCUCUUCGGUGCCUGCAGUGGCAUCUAGGAGGCCAGGAGCUGCGUGACAAUGACAGAACCCACUGCACGGGCCGGGGUGUGUCAAAGGCUGCUGAGCACAGCAAUAAAACCACUGCACCCUCCGGUUAGCUCCUCAUCUGAGCUCCUCAGCUCUGUGCAGUGCAACCUUGACUUCAAGUCCCCCGUGACCCCAGCAGGUGCAGAUGACCUCAUAGUGACCAACGCGAAGCCCAUUGCCAAGGCCGUGAACGACAAGGCCUGCAGCUACCUGCUGCUCCCAGUUGACUGGCUGACAGUGUCCCUGCAGGUGUGCGAGCUGGUGCACCCCAGCAGUGUCAGGCUGCCACAUGGUCCGAGAGGUGGAGGAGAGGACCCCUUCAUCUCUGGUGGAUCAAGACUGGCGCACCAUGCAACCCAAGCACCUGGUCAGGUGCAGCCAGAGCCUCAGAACUGAGGGGCUGGGGGCUGGGGGUAGCAAGGCCCAGUUCACCAGCCAGAACUUCAGAAAUCCCUGGGCAAGGAGGCAGAGACAGACCAGCACCCAGGCCACGGCGCCUGGUAGUCAGGUCCCUGCCUGCCACCACUUCUAUAGACACCAGCGGGGCAAAGGGGAGCCCGUGACCCCAGCUCUCCCGGCUCCCACAGCGCCCAGAACUGUGUGAGCCCCAGGCUGGGUUCCCAGUGGUUCUGCUGCUAAAUAAACGCCCCAGGGCCCAAGGAGAACACAUUGUAUUAUAUCUCGGUCAGCUUCUCCAGGAUUGAGCUGAACUCUGAGUCUCUUGGAGUCAGCUCACUCAGCUGGACUCUUCCGUGUCACCCAGGCCUUCAGCUUACAUGUUGAGAUGCAGAAUCUAAAAGUCGCAGUGCAACCUGCAUGUGCUGAAAGACUACAGAGCUUUAAAUAAUUCUUGCAAUGUUCUACCUAGCAAGAAAACACGGAGCACAGGUGUGUGUAGGCUUGCUUACCAAAAAUGUUGUUUCAAUUAUUUAUUUGGGAUGACAACUUAGCAAACAUUUUUGAUAUGUAGGGUCCUGGUUUCGGGGGUUUUUCUUUUUGGAAAGUGGCUGACAUUCCCGUACUGCUGCUGGUCCACCUGUGUGGCAAGGCAAGGACGGCUGUCAUUGUGAGGGGCGCACCAGCCAGCUGACACUCACAGCUUAGAAAGGGGAGGCUCAUCUCGGCUCACGGCUCCAAAGGAUUCGGUUCAUGGUUGGCUCCAAGGCAGGAACGGCGUGAUGGAAGGAGGAGGCAAAGCUUCCGGGUUCAUGGCCAGGAGCACAGCACAGGGAGGGAGAGAGAGACCCCAGCUCCUCCAGCUGGGUCCCACCUUUUAACGGCACAGCGAGCUAUGAACAUCAGUGGGAAUCCACUGAACAUCACAGUGGCCCACGGUUCAGUCACCCCUUAGUGCAGCCAAGUUGACAGUGAUGGUUAACUGCACAAGUCAGUUCUAAAAUCCCACCUGAGCAGUCCCAUUAAAAGCUAAAAAGCAAGUAUGAGGCCGCCCAGCUUGGAAGAUCACUCAUGGCUUCCUGUCGGGUGCAUCACACCUGGGUAUCUCUGCAGCAGGUGACCGUGGCUGACAUCUGAUCCAGGCUGAGGUUUGUGGGUGGGGACUUGGCCUUCGAGGUCUCCUGCCCUGGGUCCCCAUGCUGUGGGCAAAGGCCUGGUGGCGCAGGAGUAGGGUCCUCGGGGUCUGAUGGACCUGGGGUCCAGUCCUGAUGCUGCCAUCCUGGCUGUCAGCAUUGUGACCACUCCGCCCACUCCUGAGUCUCAGCUUCCUACACCUCAUUGGGACAGUGAGCAGCUGAGACCCAGGCUGCCGCGUAGGUCGGGUGCCCUGGGCAAUGAACCUGGCAUCUUCACCGCACUAAACACAACAAAACCUCUCGGCCCGCGUCGCCUCCCUGGCAGGCAAUGAGGCUGAGGAGAGCCCUGCAGUGUGGGAAAGCAGAUCCACCUCCAUGGAAAAGCGGUGCUGUGCGGGUCCUGUCCUGAUGCAUCUGUCUUGCUGGUUUUUGAUAGGGUCUCAGGAUGCAGCCCCGGCUGGUCUCGGACUCAAGGUCCUCCUGUCUCAGCCUCCCGAGUGCCCCACGCGUUGGGCCGCUCUCCCUUUAGACCCCUUUUCCUUCCUGUCCCUACCCCGGCCAGAGCUCGCUCAUCUCCUCCCUUGCUGAGUAUUUCACAGGCACCACCCUGACCGCGUGCAGCUCUGUUCAGGGGACAGUCAGGGGAGAGUCAGGACUGGACCCCAGGCCCAAGAGACCCCAUUGCAGAGGACCCUAAAGCCGCCACUGAGUCGAGUGAAACACAAGGACGAGAACCCCCCGCGAGGAAGACCGCUGAGAAGGGAAGACGUGGGGGUGGCCUUCGGGCCUCCCCUGCUGGCAUCCUCACGGCCCUGCAACCACGCCACUGUCCAGGGGGUUCCGGGGGGCGUCCAGGACUGGCGAUUCUUGCUCAGCAGCCAGAGGACAAUGGUCACAACCGUAGCCAUUGGGGCCACAUGCAGGCUGUCCCCACACCAGGACCCUGGCAGGCCUGGGAAAACCUUACAUCUCUCUGCUUACAGCAGCAGCAGCAGCAGCUGGGUGCCCCGGACACACACAGAGCCCAGGGAAAGGUUUCCAAAGUCGGCAGGCCCAGGGGCUCCCGUGGCCUCCCAGGGCAGCCCAGUGUAAGCUCUAAGUGCAGGACACAGGAGGAAGCCGCCCUCCUGCCAGCCUAGGCCUCUAGACUUCUCUUGGGCCCUGUAGGUCUCGAGUCUGUGGCUGCUUCACAGCUGGCCAGCGCAGGCAGGUCAGUACCUAAUGCUGUGUUCCCACACCAGCCCUGCCUUAGUCCAGCCCAUGUGCAGCAGGGCUCUGUCCAGCAGGGGCUGGUCCUCAAGGUUGGGACAAGGUCCCUCCAGGUCCUCAGCACCAACUGUUCCUGCUAGGUGUGGUGGUGCACGCCUGUCAUCCCAGAGGCAGGACGAUCGUGGCAAACCCAAGGCCUGCCUGAACUGUACAGCGAGACCAUGUCUCAAACAAAACAGAACACAGCUUGAUCCUACCAAGCAGAAUCACCCUGCCUGAUUAAGGAAACAAGGCGUGAGGUCCUUUUUUGUGGUUAGAAUCUGUGGAAGUUUGAGAAGCAGAAAUCAACAAGAAAUGUAGGAGAAUAUGAGCUAAGAGCAAAAGAACAAACUGUGAGCCUGUGAGUGUUUCCACACUGAGCUGAAUAUUUAAGAGAGACGUUUGCAUAGAGGAUAGCCUCACAUUAGCGUCAGGCUGAAGAAAUCCGCAGGUCACCCUCUCCUGGCUGCCCCCCCACUCGCCGUAGUAAAGCCCGGAAUCUGGAAUCACACUGCUCCGUGCUCAGGCUAAGGCUUGUUUUAUUUGGCUUAAUUAAAAGCACUCAGCACAUGGCGAAGGCCCAGUGAUUUUAAAGAUAGAAGUGACGCUCAGGGCCAGAACCAGCAGAACUGGCUGGGCUUGAUUUCUAUCCAGGUUUUCUUGGAGGGAAUUAAAGAACAACAAGGAAGAAAAUGUAUUGCUGGUUUAGGGAACUGAAAUCCCGGAGGGCUGAGCUGGGCCUGGCGCUGCAGACCUGAUGCAUGCACUGGGCCGGGGCAGCCUGGCCGUUGGGCUGCACAAGCCUGGCUGAGGGACACUGCCCACUCAAAUCUGCUGCAGACUCGGACCAGAAUCCUGGGUGCCUGUCGGGGUUCUGAGGGGUGCUGCAAAAGCCUUGGGGUAAAAUUAAUAUCGCUUUGCCUUAAUCUUAAAAAGAAACAAACACAAAAAUACAGCUGUUGGCAGAAGAGGUACUAUUCUAAAAAGAGUGAUCAUCUGUAUUCCCCACGUAAUGUUUGAUUCCUGGGCUACAAACAUGACCCAUACCUCUUUUUGAAAAGUCAGGCAAGGUGUGGUGAUGCAUGCCUGUGAUCCUAGCCUUUGGGAGGCUGAGGCAGGAGGAUCACUGUGAGUUCAAGGCCAGCCUGCAUUCCACAGAGAGACUCUGUCUCCAAAAAAAAAAAAAAAAAAAAAAAAAAAAAAAAAAAAAAAAAUCAAAGGGAAAAAAAAGUCACGCAACCAGGAGCAGUGGUGCAUGCCAGUAAUCCAGCUACUCAGGAGGCUGAGACAGGAGAAUCAUAAGUUCAAACCCAGCCUGGGCUACUGUUAUGGUACCUGAAUGUCGCCCCAAAGCCCCAUGCAGUCAGGGAGGUGGACUUCUAGAUUUUGUGUAAGAUUCACGGUCCAAUGCUGGGAUUAUGGGUGGUCUACACCCAUAAUCUACACCCACCCUAAAGUGGCCUGCAUAAAACGUAAGGGACAGAAGGAGUCUUCUCUCCGUGCUCUCCCCUUUAGCUCUUGCUGUCUUCUGCCUCCCUUGACAGCUGCCCUCUGCCCCGUGCCACCCUGCCUGGAGCCAGCAGAGUACACAACGAAACCUCCACAAACUGUGAGCUAAAUAAACCUUUCCUCCCUUAA